CACGUAGGGCGCAAGCGUUGUCCGGAAUUAUUGGGCGUAAAGAGCUCGUAGGUGGUUUGUUACGUCUGCUGUGAAAACCUAGGGCUUAACCCCUGGGCUUGCAGCUGGAUACGGGCAGACUAGAAGUGAGUAGGGGAGAAUGGAAUUCCUGGUGUAGCGGUGAAAUGCGCAGAUAUCAGGAGGAACACCGAGUGGCGAAGGCAGGCC
rnacentral:rRNA from 1 species